rnacentral:misc_RNA from 1 species
CCCCGAGCUCCCUCGCCGUGGUCGCCCAGCCCAGCCGCGCCCAGCUCCCUCCUCGACCUCUGCUUCUCCCACGCUCUGCUCCCCGCGCGCCGUGGAGUUCCCUGCUCGCCGUCCGCGCCCCUGGUCCCGGUCCUCGGCGCGCCACUCCUUCAGCUCGGCCGCCUCUCCCUGGCCGCGGUUUCUUCCCCAAGCUUCUCCCUCUCAUGGCGCACGCGAAGGUUGUCCCCUCCGCACGUCUUCUUCCCCCAUCGCGCCGCAGCUCUCUACCGAGCACGGCCUCUGCAGCUCGCUGCUCCAGCCCAUCCCCUUCCUGGCGCUU